AAAGCAUUAAGAUUGAAUGUAAACGUCAAAUCACUGUCUCUAUUUUAUUAUUCUACAAUUCGUUCCACAUAGUCUGCAGAGCCCCAUUCAUACUGGAUAAAUUUUAGUCGCAUCCGGUCCGUCAAAUGUCUUAUGAUCUAUAGAGCCCUUUUGAUUUUUCUAUGGCAACAUUUGCUAUGCUGACGUCAUUGCCACGUCAUUACUGUCAGUCAGACAGAAAUAAAAGAAAAAUGGAUGCCGUUCAGACGUACACGCAUUAUUUGGAACUGAAAAUUACGUAAUUUAUCGACCUGCUGGCUUGUAUUUGUUAUAAAUCAUAAAAACCUGUGACGCCAGUGGAACUACGUGGUUUUCUUUCGUGAUGAUUUGAUGAUACCUCAAUGGAAUUGAGCCAAGUUUUUGCCGUAUUGGGUGCUAGAUGCCCCUUGGAGUUAAGCCCCAGUGCCACUAUACUACCUUACCAGUUAUGUGUGGGUGUCCUAAGGUACCCCAGAGAUGCAUAGGGCCUUCACAAGCUCAUGCCACGCCUUCCUAUCUUCAGCAACCCUCGUGACCUCGCUCCACCAGCUCAAACCUGCCACUCGCAGCUCAUUUUCGACGGACCGCUUCCAUGAGUAGACAAGGCACCGACGAUCACGGCUUGCAUCACCUGUACUAAUAUAGUAUGCUGAACAUCGCUGAACGCUGCCAUUAUACUAGGAUUAACGUCCUGCCCCUUCCCCGGCUGUGUACAAAUUGGAACUCCAUUAGCAUGCCCCUUUGACUGAGCAACGUGUGUGUGUGCUCGAAACACAUUCACUUGCAACAGAAUGACUCCCAGGCUGACCUGGCUCAGCUCUUGUAUGUCUAAUCUACAUAGACAAUGGUUUCAAUGAAAGAGUCAAAAUUUUCUCCACAUACAAUCACUUCUAGUGCCUACACUGACUACACCAAAUAUAAUCAUCACUCAACGUGUCUCACAUCAAGAUACUUUUCAAAAGUCAUCGAAGAGAGAAACAUAAUAUCUUUCCCAUUUUUGCCUGAAUAAUCCUAACUAAAAGUUACUUCUCUAUUCUAUUUUUCCUGCAUGGAGUGGCGCUUUUCUGUCUAAUGGAAACAACAUGAACAUGUAUGCUCUGGGUUUCUUUUUGUGCACCUUUCCAAUAUUACUAAUAAAGCAUU